GGUUCAUCCAUGUUGUUCCAAAUGAGAAGGACGUGAUUUGCAUGUGGCCGAGGAGUAUUGUGUUGUGCGGAUAUCCUGCAGUUUCCUCAUCCCUUCACCUGUGGAUGGUCAGUUCAACCAUGUGGCUCCCGAUGACAUGAUUUCAGUAUCUGUGUCUGGCUGAAGAGUGUUCCAUUGUGAAUGGACACUAUGGUUUCUGUAUCCCAUCAUCUGUGGAUGGAUAGGUAGGUUGAUUUCUCAUCUUAGCUCUUGUGAAUAGUGCCACA
rnacentral:lncRNA from 1 species